rnacentral:tmRNA from 1 species
GGGGCCGACCAGGCUUCGACGUGGGUUGCAAAGCAGUGCAGGGCAUACCGAGGCUCAGUUCCCUCGUAAAUACAGCUGAAACAAGUAUAGUCGCAAACGACGAAACUUACGCUCUAGCCGCUUAAUACCGGCUGGACGCUGCACCAUCUCUCCCGUGGGGUGGAUUGGGGGAACCCAUCGCAGCGUCAUAUACACGGGAUACGUGAUGUGUCGGGUUACUUGGCACUUCAUUAACCUCAAGGUAACUCGUCUUGCAGUCGCUUGUCGGUUGGUGCAUGCAAGAUUAAAUCAAACAACCAGGCUAAGUAUGUAGAACUGUCUGUGGAGGGCUUGCGGACGGGGGUUCGAUUCCCCCCGGCUCCACCA